AAAUUGAAGAGUUUGAUCAUGGCUCAGAUUGAACGCUGGCGGCAGGCCUAACACAUGCAAGUCGAACGGUAACAGGAAACAGCUUGCUGUUUCGCUGACGAGUGGCGGACGGGUGAGUAAUGUCUGGGAAACUGCCUGAUGGAGGGGGAUAACUACUGGAAACGGUAGCUAAUACCGCAUAACGUCGCAAGACCAAAGAGGGGGAGCUUCGGGCCUCUUGCCAUCGGAUGUGCCCAGAUGGGAUUAGCUAGUAGGUGGGGUA
rnacentral:rRNA from 1 species